GCAGCAUAUCGACACAACACCGGCGGCGCGACGCAGGUGUUUUUCGACAACUAGUUAACAACUUUUUACCCUACUUCUUCGCUUGUCGUUACAUGUGCUCGAUAUAGUUAAUGAUAGCUUGAAUAUAUUAGUAAAUAUAUAGCUCUCUACUAUGUUUAUUAAGACCUUUCUGGAAUACGUAGUGGACGACAGCAGGAAUGACCGUGACAUGACUUUGGAAAUAACUUUGGAGUUGCGUGGACGAGUUUUUAGCCAUCAGUGGCGCAUGGUCAUCCAGACCUUUCCCUUCCCGCUACCAUUGGUUCCAUGUCCGCCGCCGCAGCAGCCUGUGCCCAGGCCACGGUGCCGCGUGGCCGGCAGGUUCUUGUAUACGGCCCGGCUGUACGGGAUGAAGCACAGGCCCAGCUGAAGGUGUCUGGCCAGGCGACAGUAUGCAGCCAGUGCCAGGACCAGCAGAGGGGUGACCAAGAGGAAGCCCACUACCAGCAGAGCCACGCAGCCUCCGUCAGUCAGCAGGUCUGAGCAGUAGGGGGUCGUCCCAUGAGGGCGGACCUGGGGAGCCGUGAGAAGAAAGACAGCAGUUGUAAUGAUAUGGCUGCAGGAUGUUGAGGUCCUGGUUAAUCCCUCUCUAAGCUGCUGUCACAUGAGGCCUAAUUGUGAACAAGCAGGAGAACAGAAUCCUGGUCUCUUCAGUCAUUAAAGAGGUCGUCGGCCUACAGAAAUGCCAUCGAGUGGCAGAGGAAGCCAAAUACCACCAUGACAAUGGCCGGUGUCAGGAUGGUCCCGAACACCAGUCCAGCGAGGCAGGCGUUUAUCGUGGCAAUAAUCAGGUUCUGAGCCGUCACCAGCACCGAGCAGGCCCAGCAGUCCAGGGACCCCCGCAGCUCCAGUGGACCUUCACUGCCCCCACCACCGCUCUCCGCUGCAGAAUAAGGAGGAGGUACAACUACACGUGAAGGUGUUUCUCUGCCUCCACCCACAGCGGUGGUGGAGGCCAGGGAGUUGGAGUGGUGAAGAUGCUGGUGGUGGUAGUGAUGAGGCGGUAGUUCCUCGGACAGGUCCAAUGCCUGGUGGUGGGCCCCCUUCUCUAGAGUACCAGUCAUAUUCAUAGUAAACUAAAAUAUAGAAUAAUAGAAAAAUAAACAAAUUGAGAUGGAGUGUGAGAUGGAAAUAGAAAUGUUAUCAGAAUCAGUGACAGAGCUUACAGAAUUGUUUUGAAACUGUUGGUCAGCUCCAAUUAGCAUGUCGGAGGCUAUAUUUGUGGAAAACAUGUCUUGAGAGACUGGAUGAGUAUAGUGUUUUGGUGCCAUAAUUACACAAUACUUUUGUACCUCAUCAAAUUCCACUCUUCAGAGGCUUAGUGGCUCUGGGUUCACAAAGAGGUUGAAGGUUUUAUCUGUCAGGAAGCAAGCCUUGUGUGAUGUCUUCUGUAAGGUGAUGAUUAUCAGAGAGCUGAUUGUCCAAAAGGAAAGGGGAUAUAAUUGCUAAAUGUAGUUUGUGUAGUAGAGAGAUGAAGGCUAACUUGCAUCAGUCUAUUUGUGUUUGUUUAUUUG